CAGUGAGAAAACACAGAACAAGCAAGCACAGUUCUCAAUUUGCAUCGGAAUGACUAUUAAUUGCACAGUGAACUUUGGCAUGGAGCAGCGGCAACAAAUCACCUGAUCACCCACAAUAAAUCAGUUUAAUUAAACUAGCUAUUUAACAUUUAAACGAAACACUAUUAACACACGACGACGUCUAGUGCAUAAACAAGGCAAUUUGCAAGCAGGCACAAU
ensembl:ncRNA lncRNA:CR44635 long non-coding RNA:CR44635